GGUGGUUCAGUGGUAGAGUACUUGCCUUGCAUGCAAGAGGCCCUGGGUUUGAUUCCUCAGCACCA
rnacentral:tRNA from 1 species